ACCAGAUCAGAUCAACGAUAGCAAACCCAGGAUAGUCAACCCAGGACAGCAGUUUCCUCUAGUAUCUGGCCCAUGAGACACCUCGCCUCUCUGCAAUAUGAAGUACCUGGUUCUGGGACUCGGCACACUGGCCUUGCUGGCAUCCAGCAUGGCACAGAAUUCUACAAUAGGACCAACAACCAAUCAACAUAAUUCUACAAUAGGACCAACAACUGACCAACAGAAUUCUACAAUAGGACCAACAACCAACCAACAUAAUUCUACAAUAGGACCAACAACCGACCAACAGAAUUCUACAAUAGGACCAACAACUGACCAACAGAAUUCUACAAUAGGACCAACAACUGACCAACAGAAUUCUACAAUAGGACCAACAACUGACCAACAGAAUUCUACAAUAGGACCAACAACUGACCAACAGAAUUCUACAAUAGGACCAACAACCGACCAACAGAAUUCUACAAUAGGACCAGCAACCGCCACAACUGCCACAACCGCCACAUGGCCAUCCACAGCAAAUUCCACAAUAGGACCAACAACCGACCAACAGAAUUCUACAAUAGGACCAACCGACCAACAGAAUUCUACAAUAGGACCAACCGACCAACAGAAUUCUACAAUAGGACCAACAACCGACCAACAGAAUUCUACAAUAGGACCAACCGACCAACAGAAUUCUACAAUAGGACCAACAACCGACCAACAGAAUUCUACAAUUGGAUCAACAAACGCCACCACAACCGCCACAUGGCCAACCACUCUCACCACACCAGCAGGAGGCAGCUAUGUCUUCAGUUACUCCAUGACUUUACUGUUUGGUUCGACAGCCAGCCUAAUCAUGCAUUCACUAUUACAUUGAGCGCCACAUAGAGGGUCACAUUGACUGCACUUUCCUGAGAGUGUUAAAGGCAUACUUUGGGAUUUUGGCAAUGAGGCCCGGUACCUACUUUCCCAGAGUCAGAUGAACUCAUGGAUACCAGUUUUAAGUCUCUGCGUGCGGUUUGAAUAAAGUUGCUAACUUGCGCAAUUGUUAACCUCCUUUCAGCUCAAUGACUGCUAACGCUAGUUGUUAACUAGCGCUAGCACAAUUGCUAAUUAGCGUUAGCGCAAUGACAUGAACACUAGUUAGCAUUGGCCUCGCAAAACUACCUCUAACUUCCUUCAUACUGGACUCAAAGACAUACAAAUGGUAUCCACGAGUUCAUCUGAUUCUGGGAAAGAUGUUAAAGGGCACCAUCGCCAAAUCCUAAAGUAUCCCUUUAAAAACUGAAUAAGAGCGUAGGAGAAGGAUCUUUCUCUCUGACAAUUUGUGUGUUUUACAAUGACCUGCUGGAGGUUUGUGUGUGCUCUGUGUAUUUCAAAAUGUAGAAUUAAAACACUGGUUGAUAGGGUUGCAAUGCCAAAAAUCGGUGUAUAUUAAUGUUUUAUAUUCAAUCAAGCGGUGAGUUCCUUGAUAUAGGUCUUUAUAUAAAUGGUAAAUUAUUUAAUUUCUCAUUGUACAAAUGUUGAAAUGUACCCAAAUAAAAUAUUUUUUUUGUAUUGCUAUUUGA